GACGAACCACACAAACGUUAUUCGGAAUUACUGGGCUUAAAGGGUGCGUAGGCGGCGUGGAAAGUUGGGUGUGAAAUCCCUCAGCUUAACUGAGGAACAGCGCCCAAAACUACCAUGCUCGAGGGAGAUAGAGGGAAUGCGGAACUUAGGGUGGAGCGGUGAAAUGCGUUGAUAUCCUAGGGAACACCGGUGGCGAAAGCGGCAUUCUGGAUCUCUCUGACGCUGAGGCACGAAAGCUAGGGUAG
rnacentral:rRNA from 1 species